rnacentral:lncRNA from 1 species
UGGCCAUGAUGGCCGCGUCGGGUAUGCUGGGGACAGAUCCUCCUCUCCUCCUGAGCCCUGGUCCCUUUUCCUAAAGGAAGCUUGACUCAUUUCAUCAAAUAGCCUUUGAGAAUCCUGGUCACUGGUAUUGAAACAACAUUGCAAGGUGUUGAGCGUUUGUGCAGGCCCUGCUGGUGAGGUGAGACUCAUCUCCUUCUUUGGAGAGCUUCAGGGAGAGUAAAGCUCCUUCU